rnacentral:rRNA from 1 species
GAUGAACGCUGGCGGCGUGCCUAACACAUGCAAGUCGAACGGAGUCAAGCCUUUAAGACCUUCGGGUCGAUGGGGGGAGGCCUGAGUGGCAGACGGGUGUGUAACACGUGGGCAACCUGGCUCAUUGAGGGGGAUAACAGAGAGAAAUUUCUGCUAAUACCGCAUAAGCACACACUGCCGCAUGGCAGAGGGUGAAAAGAGAAUCGCAAUGAGAUGGACCCGCGUCUGAUUAGCCAGUUGGCAGGGUAAGAGCCUACCAAAGCGACGAACAGUAGCCGAUCUGAGAGAAUGAACGGCCACAUCGGGACUAAGACACGGUCCAGACUCCUACGGGAGGCAGCAGUGGGGGAUAUUGCACAAUGGGGGGAACCCUGAUGCAGCGACGCCGCGUGAGUGAAGAAGUAUUUCGGUAUGUAAAGCGCUAUCAGCAGGGAAGAUAUUGACAGUACCUGAAGAAGAAGCCCCGGCUAACUACGUG